UACGAAGGGGGCUAGCGUUGCUCGGAAUCACUGGGUGUAAAGGGUGCGUAGGCGGGUCUUUAAGUCAGGGGUGAAAUCCUGGAGCUCAACUCCAGAACUGCCUUUGAUACUGAAGAUCUUGAGUUCGGGAGAGGUGAGUGGAACUGCGAGUGUAGAGGUGAAAUUCGUAGAUAUUCGCAAGAACACCAGUGGCGAAGGCGGCUCACUGGCCCGGUACUGACGCUGAGGCACGAAAGCGUGGGGAGCAAACAGG
rnacentral:rRNA from 1 species